UAGAGUUUUGCAGAGACUUUCUUCUUAUUUAAACGAAAAUUUCAAAAAAAGCUGUGAAUUAGUUUGUAAUUGUGACAUAAGAACAGAAAUAAAUAGUUUAUAACUUAUAUCAAAUACAGACAUUGGCGACAAACGCAAGCAUAAGACGGCCUUAAACCAGAUGCUAUACCUUCAGUUUACCUUCCAGGCUUAAUACAAGAAAAGUUAGAACGGUCUUCGUAACAAAUGGGCCGACCAGAGAUGACAAUGAUUAUGAAGAACUGACCUUUUUAAUCACAUAGAGCAGCAGCCGACAACAGAAUAUGCAACAAGCUGAUCGAUUGUCGUGUAAUACCUUUAAAGAUAAAUAAAAUGAAGGCUGAAAACAGCACCCAGGAUUGGACACCUUAAUGGACAAUGGACAAUGAACUCUAUAUGGACAAUGUGCUAAA